rnacentral:misc_RNA from 1 species
AAGUCGUAACAAGGUCUCCGUUGGUGAACCAGCGGAGGGAUCAUUACUGAGUAUCUUACUCUCUACCCUUUGUGAACUAUUAUACCUGUUGCUUCGGCGGCGCCCGCGAGGGUGCCCGCCGGUCUCAUCAGAAUCUCUGUUUUCGAACCCGACGAUACUUCUGAGUGUUCUUAGCGAACUGUCAAAACUUUUAACAACGGAUCUCUUGGCUCCA